rnacentral:rRNA from 1 species
UACAGAGGGUGCAAGCGUUAAUCGGAAUUACUGGGCGUAAAGCGUGCGUAGACGGUUAUUUAAGUCGGGUGUGAAAGCCCCGGGCUCAACCUGGGAAUUGCAUUCGAGACUGAAUAGCUAGGGUACGGUAGAGGGAAGUGGAAUUUCCGGUGUAGCGGUGAAAUGCGUAGAUAUCGGAAGGAACAUCAGUGGCGAAAGCGACUUCCUGGACC